AGAUAGAGUCAUUUUUGUUGUAUUUGAUUAAUGAAGAAUUUUAUAUUUGCUAUUGAUCAGUGAUAACUUAAAAAAUUGUUUGGAUAUCCUUUUAUUGGGCAUAGGACAGGUAUUACUAAAUAUAUGUAUAUAUUUUUUAGAAUUUCUUAAAUAACUAAUUAUAAGGAGAUUUUUGAAAGAAGUUUUCUGUGUCUAAAUGGACACACAAUAAAGUUCAUUAGAUAUUGAAUUGAGUAAGAUUUUAUAUACUGUGUAUCCACUAGAAAAUAAAUGGAAAAUUAUUGAAUAAAUAAAUUGUUUAAGAAAAUAUUAUAUUUUAUAUAUGUAGGAAAUAUGGUUUGUUCCAAGUUUGCUUAUUCCCAGUUCGCCGAUACCCUGUUUUUUGACAAAAAUACCUAGGUUUUAAUGGUUUUUAAAUAAAUCCCAAUUCGCCGACAACGAUGAUAAUAUAGGCAUAGCAAUUUAUCCUAAACUAUCACACGAUUAUUGACACUGAUCAAUAUAGGCAUAGGCGUGCGCAGACUUUGCUGGCAGGGGGGCAGAAUAAAUAAUAUGAUAACAUAUAAUAUAAUAUGAUAACAUAUAAUAUAAUAUGAUAACAUAUAAUAUAAUAUGAUAACAUAUAAUAUAAUAUGAGUAAUAUAAUUGAAUAUUAUUUUGGUUAUAACUUAUUAGUAGGGUUCGGAUUCGAAGGCAAUUUAAUCAAUAAAAAAAAACAUUUAAAAUGUGAAAAAAGGCAAAAAAAACAUUUAAUUUAUAUAAAAAGCAAUUAAAAAAACAGCGAUUAUUAGAUAAAAAUUAUUAUUUUAUUUGUUGUAUAAUUUUUCUCUGCGUGAACUUGAGAGUGUAGUUUAGUAUCAUACAACAUAUUGCACACUUUUAUUUCAUUUUUCCGGUUGUUAUGGAAUUGUACAAAAUAAAGUAGGAACAAAAUUAUGAAUUACUUAUAGUCAACAAUUAUUUCCUUAAAAUAGAUCGAAAACGAGGAGAAAAUGAAUGUGGCGAUCGUGCAAUAUUAAAAAAUGUAAAUGUUAUGUUAUGUUAUGUAAAGUUAUGUUUAAACCAAAUAGUAUUUUGAUACUAUAAAAUAUCAUAUCCAUGUAUAAUUUGUGUUUUUUUUUUUUUGUUAUUAUUGAAGGUAUAUUUUUUUUGGAUACAUUUUAAUUUGAUGAAAUUAAUAAAAUUGGUUAAUUACUGUUUUUACGAAAUAUAACUCAUAUUGAUUGAUAGAACUAGUGAUGUAAAUUGUCAUAAAAAUUAAUUUUUUUUAAAACGAGGUGUAUCUGACUGUCGGCGCAUUGGUAAUCAGCAAUUAGGAGUCAUCAAACUGGGAGUCGGCAAAUUGGGACCGAAAAUACUCUGGUGACAAUAAGACUGAGAACGUUUUACCUUUUCUGGCGUAGACAAUUGAAAACGGCCGAAAUAAAACAAUGUAAUAACCGCUGACCCCCACAAAUAGUAGGUAGGUACUAUUGAGAUCGAAAUUAUGUGCAACGUCUUCAUGUAUCAGUGGCAUGUACGUAUUUCAUAUUCAAAUUAAAAAAUUCAAGUCAAAACUCAUAAAUAAAUCACACAAACUUCAUGUUCAUGCUAGGUAUAUAAGAAUUGGUAAAUAUAAUAAAACAAUAAAAUAAUCGAAUAAUAAUAAAAAAAAAAGGCUUAAGGGAACUGCUGAUUCCAAUCAUAUAAAAAAAUAUUUCGUACAUACAACGCGUAACGCGGGAAACCACGCACUGAGUAAUGAUAGUAUAUUAUGAUUAUUCAUUGCGAACAAUUCGUUAUGGUUGUAUUCAUAAUAUAUAUUAUCAUUAUUGAUUGAUACAGUAAUAUGCUAUCUCAAACAACAACAACAACAAUUAAACUCGAAAAUCCCGAAGUAUAGUCGGAUAUAUUUUGGGAGGAUUUUCGGAUUACUAUAUAUUUUGCAACGUUGCGUGGAAUUAUAAAAACUGAGCAUUUUCAUUCGUGUAACAGUAGUUAAAAAGGUCUCAAAAAGGUAUCGACGGUAAUGGCUGUUCUCAAUCGUAUUUCUAGCAAUAUUCUCACCGGUGGAGGGGGGGUUGUGGGACACCCGGGGAGAGUCCUAAAGUUAAAAUGAAAGUUUGGUCUAUCUGCUCGUAGAUUUUUCUCCAAGGGAGGGGGGAAUGGACACGCAGUGGAUGUGUUCACUGUACAAAUAAAAUAUGGUGAAACGCCGUGGUACUUAUUACAAAAUAUUAUAAUAAAUAAUUAAUUAAUAAAUACAUUUUGUUCGCGAAAGUAAAGUAAAGCAACGCGCCUACGCUAUGUACGCAAAGACUGCGCAAUAUUCUUGCAGAAAUGAUUAACUACUGGGUUGGCUACUUUUUGUACUUACCGAAAAUAUAAUGGAUUAUUUCAGCCAAAUGCGAUUAAACGAGUGUAAUAAAUCAUGGUGAAAAUAUCGCAUUGUACGUAGGCAAUAUAUUAUAAUAUUUCUUACGUGAAACUUUAUUAACGAAUAAUUUUCGAAUAGCGUAAAUAAAAUUGUGUCAAAUUUAUAAUAUUUCAUAUUCGGAUUUAUGCUAGACUAUGUUAAAAGUAAUAAACGUGUGGUGAAUACAUCACCUCACUGUAAUUCACGGUACA